rnacentral:sRNA from 1 species
CUAUCUCAUCAUUAUCU